CUGUGGUCAUAUGCCAGAGAGAGACAGGAGGGGAAGGAAUUAUAGGAGAAGGGAACAUCUGUGGUCAUAUGCCGGAGAGAGACAGAAGGGGAAGGAAUUAUAGAAGGGAACAUCUGUGGUCAUAUGCCAGCAAGAGACAGGAGGGGAAGGAAUUAUAGGAGAAGGGAACAUCUGUGGUCAUAUUGUAGUGCCGGGACGUAGUAUUAAGUAUGGGUAAGUAAUGUUAAGUUAAUGUAAGUAGCAUUUAAGUUAAUGUAAGAAUUAUUAGUAACAUUGAAUUAUUAUUGCGUGAUGCUCACACCCCCGAGACAGACGGACAGACAGACAGACAUACAUGUUGACGCCUGCAGAAAGUAGGUGAUCGGUUCCAUACGAGAUAAUGGGCAUAAUUUUAAUACAAGAUAGUAGCUUCUAGUUAGAAUUUUUCACCUUGCUAUUCAGGGGAACCAUUAUGCCAAUAUCAUGCGACGAGUAAAGUACCGUAGACGGUUGUUGCAAGGUUGAAUAAAUCAGGGUUCGAAUUAAAUCUGGGGAGGGAUGUGAACCGCGGGCAGCGGCUGCGUAGGGAGCCCCACCCAGCAAACACCAACAGACACGCCUUGGCUCUUCCCCCAGACAGGUGCGUCUCUCUGAUGUGAAGUAAUUCCUGUUCAUAUUAUAGAUAUAUUUUCUCAUUAUUGUAUUUGUGCGGUGCAAACACUAACAGACACGCCUUGGCUCUUCCCCCGGACAGGUGCGUCUCUCUGAUGUGAAGUAAUUCCUGUUCAUAUUAUAGAUAUAUUUUCUCAUUAUUGUAUUUGUGCGGUGCAAACACUAACAGACACGCCUUGGCUCUUCCCCCGGACAGGUGCGUCUCUCUGAGGUGAAGUAAUUCCUGUUCAUAUUAUAGAUAUAUUUUCUCAUUAUUGUAUUUGUGCGGUGCAAACACUAACAGACACGCCUUGGCUCUUCCCCCGGACAGGGAAGUGAGUGGAGAUAAAGGGUCUGUCACGUGCGUGUCUCGGGUGUGUUCGGUAUGAUACACGUAUUGACUACGUAGGGUGUUUAGUCCACGGAGUAGCAGGGCUGUGCAGUAUUUCUCUUUAACGAGGAUGUAACCACCUGGUUCGUCCCCUUUGUCUGCUGGUUAGGCUAUAUUUUACUAAGGAUAAAGGAGAUUGUAAGAAGAUUGUUUAUGCCCAUGUGAGCACCAGUGAACUGUUUUUCGUGCCACGUUUGUGGUAGGCGGUGGCCGAAUUGGUAGAGUACUGGGCCCACAUUCACCGCGUGACGGACGACGCGGGUUCGAAUCCCCACGCUACCACUCGGAUUUUUCAGCCACCGCCGAGUGGCUUAAAACUACCCACAUGCUGUCCUGAAGACCACCCAUCAACCCGGACUCUAGAGGAAGCCGUCCAAGCGAAUCAAGAACAAGUUCCGGGGGGCAGCAUGAGCCAAUGCAAGAUGGCGCCACUAUAAACACUCGCCUGCGCCAGAACGGGCUGGGCCAACCAUCAGGCCCCACCUGGAAGAAGCCUUGGGCCGACCAUCAGGCCCCACCAGGAAGAU